CAGCUACAAUAGUCAAGACUAGGUAUUGGUGGGCAAAUCAGUGGAACAGCACUCAGGGCUAGCCAGCUGAGCUGAAUUUGAUGAAGCUGGGUGUGGUAGCACAUGCCUAUAAUCCCAGCACUAGAGAGGCUGAGGCAGGAGGAUUGCUGGAGUUGGAGGCCGGCCUGGGCUACAUAGUUCAAGGGCACCCCGGACUACAUAGGGAGAAGCUGUCUCAGAAAAACAACAACAAAAAACCCCCAGUAUACCUCGCAACCCAGUAGCUACAUCCUUGUACAUUUAUCCUAGAGAGAUAAAAACGGAUAUUUACUUAAAAACCUGCACAGAAAUAUUUAUAGCAGUUUUAUUUGAAGUUGCCCCAUGAUAGGGAUAAAAUAUCCUUCAAUAGGUGACUGAUUCAACUGUGGUACAUCCUCACCAUGGAUUACGACUCAGCAGUAAAGAGCAGCAGAGUAUUGAUGCAUGCUUCAGCCUGGGUGAACCCUGGCCAUCAUGCUCAGGGAACAAAACAUCAGAUGGCAUCAUCUACAUGUCCCAUUUCACGACAAUCAGGAUGGCAGGAUCACAGAACAGAUGGGUGUGUGCUGGGAGUUGGGCUAAUGGGGACAGGCGUGGCAGCAAGGGAAGGUUGUGGUGGUGGUGGAACGGUUCUGUGUUGGGAUGUGGGGUGGCCACACAAAUCUGCUUACCGGACAGUGGAACUGAAUUACAUACCAGUGUCCAUUCCUGGUACGGAUACUUUGCACAGCUGAGGAAGAUGUGGCGCUGGGGGAGAGGGUGAAUGUCCCGUGGGACCGCUUUGUGCCCUUUCAUCUUCCUGUGACUAUAUUUUAAAAUAAGGUUUAAAAAAAAUACAAAUGGCAAGCAAGGAAACUGGAAAACUAGGAUAUAGUCUGCUGUUUUUGUUUUGUUUUCCUGGAGCUCAAAGUUGGGGCAUUAGGAAUGCUACUGGAAGCUGUAGGAGGUGGGGCCUUGGGGCAGGAAGUCAGAUCAGUGCCUGGGAAGGAGGUACUGGGCCCUUGGUGGGCAUGAGGUGAGCAGCUUGCACCCUAUGCUCCGCGCACCAUGACAGGCUGCCUUGCCAUAUGUCCAGCUCAUCACAGAUGAACCUCAACUGUGAGCCAAGAUAAACCUUUCCUCUCUCUAAGCUGGUAUCUCAGGCAUUUUGUUAUAGUAAUGGAAAGCUGCCUAACACAACAUGUUAAAAUAUGUGUGCUUUCUGGGUUUAAAAGUAAGAUAGAACAGGCAUUCUGAAGACUGGGUCACAAGCUUACGGAAGACCGGGGGGAUAGUUUGGCUGCAGUGAGUCCUGGGAUUGGUUAGAGGGAAAGGUGGGGAGGACCUGUGUGACUCGUGUGUCUACUGCUGCCCAGCUCACAGGCACCUCCCCAGUGCAUCUCUAAACAACCUCCCAGCCUUCCAGGCCCCUCCUGUUUGGGGUUCCCCAGGAAACCUGGCCUCUUCAUCUCAGGAGAGGUGUCAGGCCUGGCAUGUUCAGUGGCAGCAGGACAGGAGAUUGGCCCACUGGUCCCAAGAUCCAGGCUCAGAUUAAGGGUUGAGAGCCAGGGUCUGCCAGGUGUAGUGGUGCAUGCCUAUAAUCCUAGCAUUUGGGAGGCUGAGGCAGGAGGAUCAACUCAAAUCAAGGCCAGCCUGGGCUCUAGAGCAAGACCAUGUCUCAAAAAAAUGACCCAGGGUCAAAGGGCAGGCAGCAAGAAGGCCUGGGGUUCAGGCCAGGGGUGGUGCACACACUCGUAGAUAACAGGUCCUGGGUUCCCCAGCCUCUCAAAAGGGGGUUGGGAGAAAGUGGCACCAGGAACUGAAGGUCUCGGCCUCCAGGAGCAGGCAGCAUGUGGCCAGCACAAGGCCUUGUAACCAUGGCGAGGAGCAGAGGCCUUGCAAGGGGAAACCAGUGUCCAGCCUUGCUCUGUGCACCCUGCUGCCUCGCAAGCUCCAUUGGUGAGAUACUCCCUCACCUGCUGGAAGCUCCCUGCCCACCCCCUAAAUUUCUGGGGGAGUCGUCACCGAUUGACAUGUUCCCAAGAGCCUGCCUUGUCCUGGGUACUGGUCCAGCUCAGAUGACACCCCGUGCGUGACCCGAUGACAGAGGUGCCUCCCAGGAGUGGCCAGCUGACCCUUCCCUUCCCUCAG
ensembl:lncRNA